rnacentral:rRNA from 1 species
AGGGCACCACCAGGAGUGGAGCCUGCGGCUUAAUUUGACUCAACACGGGAAACCUCACCCGGCCCGGACACGGACAGGAUUGACAGAUCGAUAGCUCUUUCUCGAUUCCGUGGGUGGUGGUGCAUGGCCGUUCUUAGUUGGUGGAGCGAUUUGUCUGGUUAAUUCCGAUAACGAACGAGACUCUGGCAUGCUAACUAGUUACGCGACCCCCCGAGCGGUCGGCGUCCCCCAACUUCUUAGAGGGACAAGUGGCGUUCAGCCACCCGAGAUUGAGCAAUAACAGGUCUGUGAUGCCCUUAGAUGUCCGGGGCUGCACGCGCGCUACACUGACUGGCUCAGCGUGUGCCUACCCUACGCCGGCAGGCGCGGGUAACCCGUUGAACCCCAUUCGUGAUGGGGAUCGGGGAUUGCAAUUAUUCCCCAUGAACGAGAGAAUUCCCAGUAAGUGCGGGUCAUAAGCUUGCGUUGAUUAAGUCCCUGCCCUUUGUAUACACACGCCCGUCGCCACUACCGAUAUGG